CAAUAGCGUAUAUUAAAGUUGUUGCAGUUAAAAGCUCGUAGUCGGAUUUUGGCAUCAUGCCGAACUGUCAGCCGAUUGGUUUGUACGGUUUGGCGGGUGCUUUCCUUCCGGAGGCUCGUUCCCUUCUUCAUUGAAGGGUUCGAUGGUUCCGGGUCUUUUACUUUGAAAAAUUAAGAGUGUUCAAAGCAGGCCUAUGCUCUGAAUAGGUUAGCAUGGAAUAAUAGAAUAGGACUUUGGUUCUAUUUUGUUGGUUUCUAGGACCGAAGUAAUGAUUAAUAGGGACAGUUGGGGGCGAUUCAUAUUCCAAUGUCAGAGGUGGAAAUUACUUGGUAUUAUCGGAAGAUGAACUUCUGCGAAAGCAUCUGCCAAGGAUGUUUUCUAUUGAUCAAGAACGAAAGUUAGGGGAGUCG
rnacentral:rRNA from 1 species